rnacentral:rRNA from 1 species
UACGUAGGGGGCAAGCGUUGUCCGGAUUUAUUGGGCGUAAAGCGCGUGUAGGCGGCUGGGUAGGUCCGCUGUGAAAACUCGAGGCUCAACCUCGAGACGCCGGUGGAAACCAUCUAGCUAGAGUCCGGAAGAGGAGAGUGGAAUUCCUGGUGUAGCGGUGAAAUGCGCAGAUAUCAGGAAGAACACCCGUGGCGAAGGCGGCUCUCUGGUACGUGACUGACGCUGAGACGCGAAAGCGUGGGGAGCGAACAGG